AAACUUAAAGAAAACAAAAGCCCAAGAAUCCAAACUCCUUCCUUCACUCACGUAACACCCUCUCUCUCUCUCUACCCCCUUCUUCUUUCUCGACGGAAAUCGCAGCAGAUCGCCGCCUUGACCGCCUCCGCCGUCGGCCGCUGCUCUCGGCACGCCGUUCGCUCUGAGCCAUCUCCAGCCGCUGCACCCGACGCCGUCGCUGCUGUUUCGCGCCGCUGCCGCUCGUCGCCGGAGUCCGCCGCUGCUGUCUCGCCGUCCAGCCGCCAGCCACUGCGGUCGUCGCUCCCGGCGUUCAGUCAUCGCACAUCCAACUCCGCUGGAGCCGUCGGGAGAGCGACGCCGCUGCUGUCAGCGACGCGUGCGUCGGUAAUUUCCGCCAUCCGUUGCUCCGAUUCACCCCGAAUCAGACCCGACGCCCCCAACACUCACUCGAUUCUCCCCGCAAGUUAAGUUUCUCAGAUUCGAUUCCAGUUCAUUAAAGUUCGCUCCUUUUAUAUUUUUUUCCAGUUCUCUUUGAUUAAUCGUUUAAGAGGUAAAUUCACAGAUUUAUCGAUGAUAGCGUUUGACGUAAAGAUGCAGCAGUUUCAAAUCGAGAUUGGUUGGAGGGGGUGUAUACCUUCACUAAUCUGAGACGGUCAGAUUGGUAAUGGAGACUAGCAGUGGAUGGAAAAGAGUGUGUGGCUUGAUUCUCUUUCUCGGUCCUGUUCAAGAAGUUCAAUGCGUUUGGCGAUUUGAUUUAGAAGUAAAAACGUGUACAGUGAUAGAGUUCGCAAGAAUACCUUGAGUAGGAAUUUGAAGAGAAGUUCUGUUUUGCUGCAGGGAUGGGAAGAAAGAAACGAAGAGUGAAAUCUGUAUUAUAGAGGAGUAGUAGAUUUGGUGGAGAGAUUGGAGAGAUUUGGGGAGAGAUUCAUGAGAGAGAGACGGUUGCAGCAUCGUGUGUUGGGGAGUGGGAGUUUCGGUUUCUUUCCUUUUUUUUCUCUUUCUGAUUUACUUGAAUUUAUCUGGUAUUUUAUUUAUAGGUUACGGGGAGGAACAAUUCCAUCACGGAGCAGGAAAAUCUACGUAAAAUCUUUAAUUAAAUCUUGAAUUAAAGAUAUUUUAUUUUAGUUGGUUUAGAUUAAUUCACAGCCCGUUGUAUUUUAUUUUAAAUUGUGCAGUCCAUUUAUUUAUCACGGACUGGACCUUUAUUUAA